AGUUUGAUCCUGGCUCAGGAUGAACGCUGGCGGCGUGCUUAACACAUGCAAGUCGAACGAUGAAGCCCUGCUUGCAGGGUGGAUUAGUGGCGAACGGGUGAGUAACACGUGAGUAACCUGCCCCUGACUCUGGGAUAAGCCCGGGAAACUGGGUCUAAUACCGGAUAUGACUUCCUACUGCAUGGUGGGUUGUUGAAAGAUUUAUCGGUGGGGGAUGGACUCGCGGCCUAUCAGCUUGUUGGUGAGGUAAUGGCUCACCAAGGCGACGACGGGUAGCCGGCCUGAGAGGGUGACCGGCCACACUGGGACUGAGACACGGCCCAGACUCCUACGGGAGGCAGCAGUGGGGAAUAUUGCACAAUGGGCGGAAGCCUGAUGCAGCGACGCCGCGUGAGGGAUGACGGCCUUCGGGUUGUAAACCUCUUUCAGUAGGGAAGAAGCGAAAGUGACGGACUGCACAAGAAUCUUCGGCUAACUACGUUGCCACCACCACGCCUGAAUACACUAGGGCGAUAAGCGUUAUCCCCGACUUAUUGCGCGUAAAAUUUCGUAUGCGGUUUGUCGCGUCUGCCGUGAAAGUCCGAGGCUCAACCUCGGAUCUGCGGUGGGUACGGGCAGACUAGAGUGAUGUAGGGGAGACUGGAAUUCCUGGUGUAGCGGUGAAAUGCGCAGAUAUCAGGAGGAACACCGAUGGCGAAGGCAGGUCUCUGGGCAUUUACUGACGCUGAGGAGCGAAAGCAUGGGGAGCGAACAGGAUUAGAUACCCUGGUAGUCCAUGCCGUAAACGUUGGGCACUAGGUGUGGGGGACAUUCCACGUUUUCCGCGCCGUAGCUAACGCAUUAAGUGCCCCGCCUGGGGAGUACGGCCGCAAGGCUAAAACUCAAAGGAAUUGACGGGGGCCCGCACAAGCGGCGGAGCAUGCGGAUUAAUUCGAUGCAACGCGAAGAACCUUACCAAGGCUUGACAUGUGCCAGACCGCUCCAGAGAUGGGGUUUCCCUUCGGGGCUGGUUCACAGGUGGUGCAUGGUUGUCGUCAGCUCGUGUCGUGAGAUGUUGGGUUAAGUCCCGCAACGAGCGCAACCCUCGUUCCAUGUUGCCAGCACGUAGUGGUGGGGACUCAUGGGAGACUGCCGGGGUCAACUCGGAGGAAGGUGGGGAUGACGUCAAAUCAUCAUGCCCCUUAUGUCUUGGGCUUCACGCAUGCUACAAUGGCCGGUACAAUGGGUUGCGAUACUGUGAGGUGGAGCUAAUCCCUAAAAGCCGGUCUCAGUUCGGAUUGGGGUCUGCAACUCGACCCCAUGAAGUCGGAGUCGCUAGUAAUCGCAGAUCAGCAACGCUGCGGUGAAUACGUUCCCGGGCCUUGUACACACCGCCCGUCAAGUCACGAAAGUUGGUAACACCCGAAGCCGAUGGCCUAACCACCUUGUGUGGGGGGAGUCGUCGAAGGUGGGACUGGCGAUUGGGACUAAGUCGUAACAAGGUAGCCGUACCGGAAGGUGCGGCUGGAUCACCUCCUU
rnacentral:rRNA from 1 species